AAUAUUUUCUUUUAAAAAAAAUCUUGUUUUGAAAAAUACUUUUGUCUUUCGUCCAUAGCUCGCCCUCUUCAGCCAUCACUCAGCGCAGUCCUGAUCUCCCUGGCAUUUGCCGUCGAGCCGCCGGCGCCAUCCGUUGCUAUCAACGCGCUGUCGUAGAUACAGAUUAUCACUCGCGCUCUCCGCACUAUCUUUGAUUAUCAUGUGAAGGCAACAAUGGAUAGAUACAAGAAGGCAUCCUCAGAUUCCUCCAACACUGGAUCUACUUCUGAAGCUAACACUCAGUGAGUCCAGUGUUCUCAAGGUGCACCCAGUCGCUUACGGUGAGGGGCAAGGUGUUUUCACCUAGCCCCACCUUGAACGGCAUCGAUCCGGUGCGCGCCUUGCCUUGCCUUGGCACACCAUCGCCAUAAGGCAAGGCGAGCGCCUCUUUGAAGCGAG